rnacentral:rRNA from 1 species
UACAGAGGGUGCAAGCGUUAAUCGGAAUUACUGGGCGUAAAGGGUGCGUAGGUGGUUGAAUAAGUUAGGUGUGAAAGCCCCGGGCUUAACCUGGGAAUGGCGCCUAAUACUGUUUAGCUUGAGUACUGUAGAGGAAGGUGGAAUUUCCGGUGUAGCGGUGAAAUGCGUAGAUAUCGGAAGGAACAUCAGUGGCGAAGGCGAUUUUCUGGACAGAUACUGACACUGAGGCACGAAAGCAUGGGGAGCAAACAGG